GUGCUACUUCCUCCGUCCAACAAAAGAUGUUUCAAAUUUGUCAAAAAUUAGAAUUAUCUAGACAUGACUUAGUGUAUAGAUGCAUUCAAAUUUAGUCAAACUUGAGACAUCCUUUGUUGGACGGAGGGAAUAAUUA
rfam:Brachypodium distachyon strain Bd21 chromosome 3, whole genome shotgun sequence.